AAAGAAAAAAGAAAAAAGUUUACCCUGGCUGCUGCCUGCUAUGUAUGCUGUGUGGUGGGGGAGAGGGAAGGGAAUAGUGGGUGAGGGCUCUAUCUGCAAACUAUUGCCAUAGUCUAGAUAAGAGUUGCUGAUAGUUUGGACCAGGGCAAUGGCUGUGGGGAUGGUGAGAGAUGGUCAGAUUUGGGAUGUAUUUUAGGAGCAGAGUUGACAGAAAUUACUCAUGAGUGGAAGGUGAGGUGAAGAGAAAGUAGGGAGGCAGGAUACCUCUCAGGUGUUACGCCCUCUCAUAACCUCUUCACUCACCUUUUUGUUCCAUCAGUUGCUGUGACAACAAGCUGGCGCGGGUGUAGUUUGCUGCACUUUGCAGCUCUUGUCUUCUGCUCCAGGGCACUCAGCUGCCUGGGGGAACCUGGAAAUCCAGUAAGUUCACACCUCAGGAGCAACAUCGGACAGAUGGUGGUUUGGAGCAGAGUGAGUGACUCUUUUCCUGGCCCCAAGGAGCAGCUGAAGAGGAUGCAGUGACCAGUGGAAGGACACGCAGCAUGUCCUGUAUUGUGAGGUCAGCUCUUCCACACUCUCCUCAUUUGAUUCUAGCUCCAGCGGACCCUGGGUCCUCACAGCAGGCAAGCAGUCACAUUCGAAUGAACGCUGAUUGUUCAAAGUUAAC
rnacentral:lncRNA from 1 species